rnacentral:snRNA from 1 species
AUACUUACCUGGACAGGGUCUAUGGGCGAUCAAGAAGUCUCAUGGCCUAGAUCAAUGGCUCACAUUGCACGUAGUGAGUGUGUUGAUCUACCAUCUCCCUUGGGAGUGUGGAUGUCAUAAUUUCUGAUAGAGGGGGUACGCGUCCGUGCGGCCCCUGC